ACCCCAAAUAUGACAGCAGACCCAUCAAGCCAUGGCCGCAAUACUUCACCUGAGACUGCGGCGAGUGUCAUAGCUCCCCACUAACCAAAACGACCCCAAAGCCAAGAAGCCAAGAACACUGUAGAAUUAACCCUUCAACUAAGGAUUGAGUACAACUUAUCAACCCUAUAUUUGCAUAACACACGAAUCUGCAUUAUUUAGCUUAAAGCUUAUACGUAUGUGUUCUAAACUAAGAUGAUACUUCAUAUACUUGAACUGCAUUUACAGUGUUCUCAAGUCCCACAAGCUGCACAUUUUCAGGAAAAAAAAAGACCCAGAAGAUGCAAUACUUACACACACUUCCCCAACUGGCCGGGUCACUCAUAAAACUGUAAAACCAUAGAUAGCUAGCUCAGAGGCAACAGGAACUAAACACAGGCCACAUUUAAAACUACAACUGCAAUCAUCCAAAGAUUCUAUACUAGAGAAACAUAUAGCAGAUCACAAAACACAAAGGCCACAUUUAAGAUUCAAAUGUUACAUUUGUGCCCAUGAUCAGAAUAAUCAGAUAUAUGUACCUGAUCAUCUGAAAUUCGCUCGACAUCUAUGACACCAUAAGUGACAUUAGGUAUAAAUAAUGCUCCUGCAGCCAUCAAAAUAUGGUUCCCAACUGACACGACCCACCCCAAAUUUCACCCUGAAACCCAGAGUAAGUCGUGCGGGGACCAACUCCAAGGAAAAUUUUACCGAAAAAUCGGCAUAACCUCCCUUGAAAAUGGACAACCCUUCCUAAUAAUACCUGCAAACACUUCUGAAAAUUUAAAUCCAACCUUAAACUCCUGGAGCCUCCGUGCUCCCCAAAUCACAACACCACCCAAAUUAUUUACUAAUCUAAACAAAUCUCAUAUCCAACCAUUUAUAGGUUCAGAGCAACUCUAACAAGAAGAAAGAAAACAUAAUAAAUUAACAAACGGAAGCUAUAUGAUGACUAUGCCUCAUCCCCAUGUACGUCCGACCUCAACUAUGCAAUCCUGCAAACUGGGCAUUUUUAAAACGAAGAGCCCAGGGGAAAACAUUUGAAACACGUUAGAGUGAGUGGACAAAAACAAAUUAACGAAUAAAAUAUUUAUGUUUCCCCAAAUCAAUUUCCAAGAAAAAUCGAAUGCAUGCUGCAAGCGAUAAAACUUUUAUCUCAUAAAUGUCGAGCCUCUCAGGCUCUAUAAUAUAUGUAUGUAUUUACACACGUCCUAUACUUCCCUAAUAUAAAUUCCAUAAGUACGUACUAAUAUAGGCUACUACGCUACGCGUCCAAACGUCUCACGUUCAACGCCUUUAAUAGCGGUGCUACACUACGCCAUUAAGGUGGAACAGACGGGUUGUUAUAAAUAUCGUGUCCAUACCCCUAUAUGAAUUAAACACUCAUAUAGGGCUACUACGCUCGCGUCCAACUCUCACGUCACACCAUAAUGCAGCUAUAUGCUACGCCAUUAAGGUGGACAGACACAUAGGACUAGCUAGCAUUUUUAUACAUACUCUCCUCAUAAACACAUAUUUAUAUUCACCGAAAAUCCCAUUUUCGGUAACUCUCCAAGAGAAAUAAAAUCAUAAAAAUAAAAUGACGUCAAAAUGCUACACAACAAUAAUUGUUCAUCUAUGAACUAUAGCAUGCAUUUUAUUUAAAACAAAGGUCCACUCACAACUCUAGGCAUAAGCCCGAUGAAAUCCAAAUCGCCACUCCAGAGAGGUUUCUUCCAACCCUGGCACAAAUAUAAAAUUAAUUUCCCAACUAAAACUCCAAUAUUUAAACAAAAUAGGCAAAAUUAACCGAGAGCCAUAACUACGCUCAUCAUUGCCUAACUUCGAUAUUCUUAAAUCGAAACGAUCCGAACUUAAAUAUCAUACUCAGCAGCCGUACGUAAUUACAACCUCCCAAAAAAUACGACUUAAAUCCUACGGCCGGAUUCUACAUUAAUUAACCGCCAAAAAUACCACACUUCGGAAAUUCAUAAACCUAUCCAAAACUCAUCCAAAAAUUCCAUAACUCACUUCAAAAAACUCCCCUUAAUAUUCUAAAUUUAAAACCCUAAAAAUCUUCCAAACAGUGGCGGCGCCGGCAGCGGCGCCCGGAGGCCAAUUCCGGCGACCUCCGAUUCCUAUGAAAUUUUGACAGCAUCUUCCUCUCAUCAUGCUCUACAACUUUCCUAACUAGCACAAACCCAAAAUCCAAGCCUAACUAGGUCAAACGAGCAAAAACAUCCUAGAACUUCCACCUCUAAUUUCUCCUUACCUGAAGCGAACCGGAGUGAGCCCUUUUAGGGCAAGGUAGCUGGGUUGGAGACCUUCAAAACCGUACCAAGCUUGCCCGGAUUGGUGGCCGGAGGAGGGAGUUCCGGCGAAGUGAAGCUUUGGACAGUCAGACCUUUCGGGUGGCACCGCUCUCUCACGGCGGAGCUAGGGCUCCUCUCACCGGUCCAGGGAGGUUGCUGGGUUGGAGGUCGACCGAACGGGACUGGUGCGGCGGCGGUUGGUGGCCGGACGGCGGCGGGAGGACGGCCGGAAAACCGGGCAGCGGGAGGAGCUCGGGGAGAGAGAAAACCGGGAAGAAAAAAAAAGAGAAGGGAGAAAAUGGCUUUGGGCCUCCUCCCCCAAAACCGGUCCAACUUAAUACCCAUUUAAAACAAACCCAACUCCAAAAAUAAAACACCCCGAAAAAUAAUACUCGAAUAAAAAUUACCUUUUACUAGCUAAAAUUUACCAUUUUUACCGUCGUCAUAUUUUCCUCCUACGAAUAAUCCUCUGAGCAUAACCGUCCCCGAAACCCCUCUAGGGACCAAUUAAACUAUAACUUCAAUGAUAGAGACAGUAAAAUUCUUAUUAUAACCAAGCUAGUAAAUAAGGUAAAAAUUUACGGAUCGGGAUGUGACAAUUCUCCCCUCCUUAUAAAAAUUUCGUCCUCGAAAUUUACAUACCUGACAUUCGAAGAGAUAGGGAUACUGCUACCUCAUUUGCUCCUCUGAUUCCCAAGUAGCUUCUUCUACUUGGUGACUCCUCCACAGAAUUUAACAAGAGGAAAAGAUUUGCUUCUAAGCAGUUGCUCCCUCUGGUCUAAAAACUGAACCGGAUCCUCAUCAAAGGUCAAAUCUUUCUACAAAAUAAUCGGCUGCUCUUGCAACCCAUGAGAGGAAUCGGCAAUAAACUUGCGAAGCAUGGAUACAUGAAACACAUUAUGUAUCCUGGAUAACUCUGGAGGCAAAACUAACUGAAACGCAAGAGAGCCAACUUGAUCUAAAAACCCAUAAGGACCAAUAAAUCUCGGACCAAGCUUUGCACGUUACUAAAACGUACCACCCCUUUCCAAUGAGACAAUUUUGAAAACACCCAAAAUACUCACUUGAAACUCAUGGUCCUUCCUGCGAACAUCUUUAAAACUCUACUAGCUACUAAGAGCUGCUUUGAGUCUAACUCUGACUCCUUUAACCUUUUCAUCUGAAUCCUGAAUUAUUUUAAAUCUUCUCGAAGACUCUAAGUCCUUCGUUGAACUACCACUAACGUUAACACGUAAGUGAGUUCAGUGAUACCUAUUCCAGAGUACGAGUACCCAUAGGUAUGCACACUCUUUCCUGAGCAAUGGAAAUAGCUAAUCCAAAUAAAACGCAUAAAUUUGCUAUCACCAUCGGGCUCAAAUCUCCUAACGUCACGCAACAACCUCGAUAGCACGCUGCUCACAACUCGACAAUGAAGCUCACUUGCUAGGAAACUAAAGUUCACAUAUUCCCACAUGCUUAUAGGGGUCAAAAUUAAGACCCGCUAAUUGAACAGAUUUUUAAGGAUGCAGACACUAUAGAACUGCAACAAUCACUCCUACUACUGAGACACCUCGCAGAGUCUUUCGCGGAGCCAAAGCUCUCGCAAGUCCACAAGAUAACCUUGCUCUGCCUAAAUGACCAGUCCACCAACAUAUGAUAACCUCGAUUGCCGAAAUAACAUUAUGAAAAGAUCAAUACCACGACACUUAGAUCUCUCCACCAAAACUAUUACAUUACCAUUUUCUGCACCACAAACUAGCAACUUAUGGGAAUUUCCAACUCUCUCCUGAUUCUGCUAUCUCCACUAUUAUUUACCAAAAACCAGAACAUAAUCUGAAGCAUGACUAACACGUGGAAACUAGAUAUUCCUCCUUGCUUGCCAUAAACAAAAAAACUAAUUAAUGCCCACGAAGAUUGGCACAAUCAAUUCAUGAUGCUAACUUGACGUUGAAAUCCACGUAAAAAGAACACCUUCUUUUAAGCAUUGACAAAAUUUACAUCUCCAGCCAUGCUACUUAUUCGGGUGCAACUGCGACCCCAAAAGCAAUCAUUAAAAAAAAACACACGGCUCACUCUAGCCGUUCCAUAAGAAUGAUUCUAAAUGCCAAAACCUUUGGAUCCGACAAACACAUUUCUUUUUCUACCUCCAUAAAUAAUUAAUCUGAUAGAAGAAGACGAUCUGAAAAAUCAGACACGCUCAAGUCUCCUACACAUCACAGGGCCAUGACUUCCCACCAAAAAGAUUCUUCGAAAACCGAGCUUGCAAUAACAUGCGACUAACAAAAGCAAAGAUAAAUUUUUAUACAAGACCUCCCAAAUCAUACUUGGAUCAAUGAGUGGUCCCACCACAAUACGAUCCCGAGAAGAGACGCUGAUCAACCUAUCAAAAACUACUACUCUCAAUAUUAAAACUCUUAAUAAAACUUGACUCUAGACGCUUCUUGAGUCAACAGGGGAAAACCCUCUUCCAUAAUGCUACAUCAUGAAAUAUACCUACAACAACACAAACCAUGAAAUCAACAUCACCAUGCAACUCUUAAACUACCACAUAGGAUUUACAGCAUCAAGACUCAUUGCUUAAAUGAACUCCAGCUCACUUGGAAUCACCACUGGAUUUAUUCCGGAUCCAUGACUACGACACAACUACCAAUUUAUCAUUUACCUCAAAACUUUGAAAAAUAACCAGAAUCUCUACCCUUCAAAUCGAAGCGUUAAAUCCGCAUUCCAAAAUUUCAAGCUCUGAGGCUGCUACCCAAAAACUACAAUAGGAAUAAUUUAAAUAUUCUCAUACACACCACAACCAAAACUUUACUCCAUCUCACCAAAUUAGAAAUAAGGUGAGAACAGAUCCUCCCAUUGUUGUGUCGUAGUUAGUCACCCAUUGCGACGAAGUGAUGCCAAAAACCAACUUCGAUCACAAAUUUGAGACUUACAUCAACCACCCGGAAUGACAUUGCUUAAAAAUUACUUUGGACACCCACGCACUCUUGCUUUAUGAUCCAGUGGGUUCUAUUCUACCGCUGCCACUUCCACUAAUUUCAUGCAACUACCUUAGAAUUUAUAAAACAAAAACUCAUGACAACACCUAUUUAAAAUUUCACCAUGAGCUGUCGUAAAACCGAAGCGACCACAACCAUCCCGCUCUUACUCCACCAUUACUUUUCAAUUCCAUUUAAAUUUAUCAUCUUCCCAAACACUCAACAAAUUUGGAAACCAAACUUCAACACCCAGAAUUCCGAAAGAAUCCAUAACGUCCCCACGAUUAAAAUACUACAGCCGACAGAAGUCGCUCAAUGUUUUAAAGCUUGCUCGAAGCUCUAAACUUUUGAUGACACCAUUCAAUUUGCAAUAAUUCCCCGACCGCGACACAACAUCAAGUUGUCACAACGCACUGACGAAUGACUUUUGUAAAACCAACAAUCCAAGUCAUUCUACUUAGUGCUUUAACAAACUUCAACUAACCCACAAUAGAGACCAAAAUCAUCAGAAAUCUUACUAUUCAUCGACUACUAACAUCCAUCAUUUUCAAAAUAUAUUACCACUACCAUCUGGAUAAAAUGCUCUAAGGAUAGAAACAUAUCCAUAAUUAGCACUGUAGAAACCAGAACAUAUACCGCCAUAACCAAAAUUAUCCCAACAUGUUCCCAAUUGAUUUAUGUUGCAGAUAAAAUUUUUGGCAAAAUGGUCUUCAAUCAAGACUUAUCUAAAUUGACAUUUAGCUCUUUAUGCAGCAAUACCUUACCACCCAAUCACUAGCCACAAAUUUCCUAAAACCUUGAUUAACCCAAGACUAGGGUCCUCAACAACUCAUAUAGGUACCCAUUUGAAUUACCAUUGGAUACCUCACCUCAUCAUUUCAACUAACUUUUUCAUCAAUAGAAUACACCACUACUUCGAACUUUCCUUCCAACUUAACUCUCUCAGAAGUCACGUAACUCAAUACCAAAAUCUCCCAUCAAUCAAUUUUUGACUCCAAUCUUGCCCACUAAAAAAAAAUGGACAACUUCAAGGCAUUAAUCAUCAACAUUUCACCCAACAGAUUUGCACAAGAUGCUCACCUUAGCAUCUUAAUCUGAAACCUUAAUCUUAAUUAACCCAAUCAAUCAUUGGAUACCUGAAAGGAAUGCUAACAAGCUUUUUCGUUCCCCACUCGCAAAACAACUCCAACAAUUAAUAUCAAAGAUAUUAAUUUAAUGAACCUUGGAAUAGGUGCAAACUAUACAUCUUUUCAAAACUCGAAGGAUGAACACUCAAGAGGUCAGCGUACGGAGGCAUAGUCUUAGAGAUGUAGACAUUUAUGGCACACUACUGUCCAUAAAUAAAAGAAGAACAACUACAUCACAACCUUAAUCAACACAUAGUGUCUUCAGCAUAUAAUGCUAAUAGAUCCGCCGCGGUCAGACCAUCACUCUAUAGACACUGAGCAUGACCAAGAAUAUGAGGUAGUACUAAAAAGAGAAAGGAAACGAAUAACCUAGUGCUCUGAUACCAACUGACACGAUCCACCCCAAAUUUCACCCUGAAACCCAGAGUAAGUCGUGCGGGGACCAACUCCAAGGAAAAUUUUACUGAAAAAUCGGCAUAACCUCCCUUGAAAAUGGACAAUCCUUCCUAAUAAUACCUGCAAACAUUUUUGAAAAUUUAAAUCCAACCUUAAACUCCUGGAGCCUCCGUGCUCCCCAAAUCACAACACCACCCAAAUUAUUUACUAAUCUAAACAAAUCUUAUAUCCAACCAUUUAUAGGUUCAGAGCAACUCUAACAGGAAGAAAGAAAACAUAAUAAAUUAACAAGCGGAAGCUAUAUAAUGACUAUGCCUCAUCCCCAUGUACGCCCGACCUCAACUAUGCAAUCCUGCAAACUGGGCAUUUUUAAAACGAAAAGCCCAGGGGAAAACAUCUAAAACACCCUAGAACUUCCACCUCUAAUUUCUCCUUACCUGAAGCGAACCGGAGUGAGCCCUUUUAGGGCAAGGUAGCUGGGUUGGAGACCUUCAAAACCAUACCAAGCUUGCCCGGAUUGGUGGCCGGAGGAGGGAGUUCCGGCGAAGUGAAGCUUUGGACAGUCGGACCUUUCGGGUGACACCACUCUCUCACGGCGGAGCUAGGGCUCCUCUCACCGGUCCAAGGAGGUUGCUGGGUUGGAGAUCAACCGAACGGGACCGGUGCGGCGGCGGUUGGUGGCCGGACGGCGGCGGGAGGACGGCCGGAAAACCGGGCAGCGGGAGGAGCUCGGGGAGAGAGAAAACCGGGAAGAAAAAAAAAGAGAAUGGAGAAAAUGGCUUUGGGCCUCCUCCCCCAAAACCGGUCCAACUUAAUACCCAUUUAAAACAAACCCAACUCCAAAAAUAAAACACUCCGAAUAAAAAUUAC
rnacentral:lncRNA from 1 species